GAUGAACGCUGGCGGCGUGCCUAACACAUGCAAGUCGAGCGAUUCUCUUCGGAGAAGAGCGGCGGGACGGGUGAGUAACGCGUGGGUAACCUGCCCUGUACACACGGAUAACAUACCGAAAGGUAUGCUAAUACGAGAUAAUAUACUUUUAUCGCAUGGUAGAAGUAUCAAAGCUUUUGCGGUACAGGAUGGACCCGCGUCUGAUUAGCUAGUUGGUAAGGUAACGGCUUACCAAGGCGACGAUCAGUAGCCGACCUGAGAGGGUGAUCGGCCACAUUGGAACUGAGACACGGUCCAAACUCCUACGGGAGGCAGCAGUGGGGAAUAUUGGCACAAUGGGCGAAAGCCUGAUGCAGCAACGCCGCGUGAGCGAUGAAGGCCUUCGGGUCGUAAAGCUCUGUCUCAAGGAAGAUAAUGACGGUACUUGAGGAGGAAGCCCGGCUAACUAACGUGCCAGCAG
rnacentral:rRNA from 1 species